AGCGAACGCUGGCGACAGGCCUAACACAUGCAAGUCGAACGAACCCUUCGGGGUUAGUGGCGGACGGGUGAGUAACACGUGGGAACGCGCCUUUAGGUUCGGAAUAACUCAGGGAAACUUGUGCUAAUACCGAAUGUGCCCUUCGGGGGAAAGAUUUAUCGCCUUUAGAGCGGCCCGCGUCUGAUUAGCUAGUUGGUGAGGUAAUGGCUCACCAAGGCUACGAUCAGUAGCUGGUCUGAGAGGAUGACCAGCCACAUUGGGACUGGGACACGGCCCAAACUCCUACGGGAGGCAGCAGUGGGGAAUCUUGCGCAAUGGGCGAAAGCCUGACGCAGCCAUGCCGCGUGGAUGAUGAAGGUCUUAGGAUUGUAAAAUCCUUUCACCGGUGAAGAUAAUGACUGUAGCCGGAGAAGAAGCCCCGGCUAACUUCGUGCCAGCCGCCGCCGUAAUAC
rnacentral:rRNA from 1 species